GUUAGGUUGUACAAUUGCCAGGCUACAGUUUCAGACUUCACAGAAACGUAAUUCAUUGUUCUGUCAUGGAAUUUCCUUAGUUUUAUUUUUUAAACCAUGUUUCAGGAGUUGCCGUUUGACAGGAGUCUAUGCAGACAUUGCAAGGUUCAUGUCACAGAGUGGGCUGCCCUUUCAAGGGGGGCUAGCUCAGCCCCACCGGUGCCUAGUUAUCCACCUCCCAGAUGGGGUCUAGGCUGGGCUUUCCAGCAAAGGUGGGUGAAGUCCCCUGUCUAUUGCCCUGCUCCAACAGCACAUAAUGGACUGCUGAGCCCAGGAGAAGGCUACAAGAGAAGCUACAUCCAAGAGAGGGUGAAAAGUUUAUGUGGCCUGCCAGCCAUCUUGCUUUCACUCAAGCAACAGGCACCAACUUAGCCAAACCGUCUAUCCAUCCUCUCUGUCUCUGAGCAGCAAAGUGAGCAUUUUGCAAAGCCAGACCACCGAUGGAGACGUUCCUCCCAGUUCAGUAUCAGUGGUGCCUACAUCACCUCCUGCAGUUGGGGGCAGCAGAUCUUUACAUGGAGCUCUUGCCAGGGGAGACAUGGGCACUGAUUCCAUUCUCAGACCUAGUCUCCCACUUCCUGGGUGCUGGGAGUGCUACAGGGGCUGGGUCCAGCACUGCCUUGUGGACAGUCCCUGCAGGGGAGCUAGGUCCCAUUCCCUGUUUCCAUCCCUUUCUCCCUGGGAGCUGGGAGAGCUGCAUUGUUCAUUAAAUUAUUAAUAAGCCAAAGCUCCCCUUCUAUAC